AGAGUUUGAUCCUGGCUCAGAACGAACGCUGGCGGCGUGCCUAACACAUGCAAGUCGAACGGAGAUAAGGGGCUUGCUCCUUAUUUUAGUGGCGCACGGGUGAGUAACGCGUGGAUAAUCUACCUUGGAAUCUGGGAUAACAUCUCGAAAGGGGUGCUAAUACCGGAUAAGACCACGAGCUCUUCGGAGUUUGCGGUAAAAGGGGGCCUCUGUAUAUGCUUCUGUUUCAAGAUGAGUCCGCGUACCAUUAGCUAGUUGGUGAGGUAACGGCUCACCAAGGCGACGAUCAAUAGCCGACCUGAGAGGGUGAUCGGCCACACUGGAACUGAGACACGGUCCAGACUCCUACGGGAGGCAGCAGUGGGGAAUAUUGCACAAUGGGCGCAAGCCUGAUGCAGCAACGCCGCGUGAGUGAUGAAGGCCUUCGGGUCGUAAAACUCUGUCCUAUGGGAAGAAAAAAAUGACGGUACCAUAGGAGGAAGCCCCGGCUAACUACGUGCCAGCAGCCGCGGUAAUACGUAGGGGGCAAGCGUUAUCCGGAAUCACUGGGCGUAAAGGGUGCGUAGGUGGCUCAUCAAGCCAGAGGUGAAAGGCAUUGGCUCAACCAAUGUAAGCCUUUGGAACUGACGAGCUUGAGUGCAGGAGAGGUAAGUGGAAUUCCUAGUGUAGAGGUGAAAUUCGUAGAUAUUAGGAGGAACACCAGUGGCGAAGGCGACUUACUGGACUGUAACUGACACUGAGGCACGAAAGCGUGGGGAGCGAACAGGAUUAGAUACCCUGGUAGUCC
rnacentral:rRNA from 1 species